GUUUCACAUGUUUUCAUUGAAAGUUUCCGCCAGAGGUGAAAAUGCUCCUCCCUUCUCGACAGUGUCUUGGUAAGUGAGGAGGAUAAGGAGGGAGAGUUUUGCCAAGGCACAACCCCAGCACAACUGAAGCUGCCAGCAAAGCUGAAGAGGAAUUUGUGUGAGCACAAACUGACACUCUUACCUCCCCCUCAGCUUUUUGUUGACCUGUGGAAAUCAUCUGUGAAAGGCCAAGCCUAUCGAUCCCCUUUUACUCAAAGAGACACCAUUAGGGCAGACAAAGCUGCAGGUUUUACUGCUCUGCAUUAGUUGUCAUAACAUAAUCUACUUUAAUGCAAGUGUACAUGAAAGGUAGAACUUACACAAAU